UGCUUUGAUUCUGAUGAGGCCCACCUUUCCUUAGCUGCUCACGGUCAAGAUUUGGAGAAGAAGCAACAGUGUCACAAAACAUCUUCAAAAUGACGAGGAUUUUGACAGCAUGCAAAGUGGUGAAGACACUGAAGAGUGGCUUUGGUUUGGCCAAUGUGACUUCGAAGCGACAGUGGGACUUCUCUAGACCUGGCAUCAGGCUCCUUUCUGUGAAGGCACAGACAGCACACAUUGUUCUGGAAGAUGGAACUAAGAUGAAGGGCUACUCCUUUGGCCAUCCCUCCUCGG
rnacentral:lncRNA from 1 species